rnacentral:rRNA from 1 species
UACGGAAGGGGCAAGCGUUGUUCGGAAUCAUUGGGCGUAAAGGGUGCGCAGGCGGUCUGAUGCGUCGUCGCUGAAAGCUCUCGGCUCAACUGAGAGAGGCGUGGCGAUACGAUUAGACUCGAGUCUCUGAGAGGGUGGCGGAACUCCUGGUGUAGUGGUGAAAUGCGUAGAGAUCAGGAAGAACACCCGUGGCGCAAGCGGCCACCUGGCAGAGCACUGACGCUGAGGCACGAAAGCGUGGGUAGCGAACCGG